AUGGCGGUAGCGCAGCGCCCCUCAGCCGUGGAGCCGCCGCCCGUCGAGGUGGUCGCCGCGGUGGAGCAGGUGGACGGCGCAGCUCGCCUCGGGCGGCGGUGGUUCACAGCAGUGGAGCAGCUCGCCUCGGGCGGCGCAGUCCCGAGGCGGAGGCGCGGCGUGAAGCGCAGAUCGAGGCGGAGGAGAGAGAACGUCGGGAAGGGAGGCGGAUUAAAGUUGCGGCACGGAGCGGAGCGGCCAUUCCCUCCCCUCUCGACGAAAACCACCUCCCUUCUCUCUCACGAGCGAGCUCUCCGAAGGCGGGGUCAUGGAUUCCUGGAAGCAGAGACUCGAGAGGAGGGCUCUGGUGAUAGCCAACGGCGACGAAGAGAAGCUGGCGAAGCUGAGGGAGAUCAUCUCCAGGUUCUCGACGGAGAGCAAUCUGAAGGAGGCGGCGGGGUGUGCCUACCGGAGGCUCACCGAGGCGGAGGACUGGCGCCUCACUCCGUCAGGCGAGCCGGUGGGGGCGCUCCGGAUGCUGUUGUGGGCGAUGAAGGAGGCGGAAUCAGACGAUCAGAUGCAGGCCAUGAAGUGGAUCGCGUUUCGUUCGCGUCGCACCGUCCCUGCGGAUCCACCUGGAUUUGUGGUCGGCGCGGUGAUGGGUCUCCCCGCCCCAGCUCCGGUUGUGCCCAGGGCUGCAGUGGUGGAGAGGCGGCCAGAUUUGGGGCGCGCCGAGGGCAGGAGGGGGAUGAAGCUUGGGACGAAGAAGAUCCAGAAGAUGCCGUUGGUUCUGAGGAGGUCACCGCGCUUCCCUCGCCGUUUCCCACGCCUGCUCGGUCUCGCUCGCUCCCAGGGACGGGAGUAGGGGCCUCGCCGGUGGGCGGCCGCUUCUGGCUGCUCGCCGGUGAGGUUUCCGACGAGGAGACUUGGGCUCCCGUUGGAUCUGCAAGAAAAAGGGCCCAGGGGAAAGAACGCUGACGUUGGGGGCAAGACUCAUCGAGCAGGUGGCAAGUGAGAUCUUCAAAGCUUCGCAAGGAUGGCGCUUCGGGGUUCCGCGGCUGAAGGACUAGGGAAGCUGCGACAUUUCAAGAGCUUGCUGCUGCUUUUGCUUUAGACUUGUCUUCUCCUCCGUUUAGCCUUUUGUGAUGGAAACUUGUAAUGAUCUGACUAUCCGGGGGGUGGGGGCUGUGUCCGUGGCCACUCCUUGCGCGGGUUUCGCUUUUACUCUCUGUUCCGCUUCUUAUUGUAAGACUUCUAGACUGCUCGUGGCUUCGGCCUGGUUUCUAUAAUGGAAAUCGGAGGGGAAACCCUCUUUUGCUCAAAAAAAACAUGUUAAGGAAAAAGUUAGAGGAGGAACUUUCAAAGAUUAAUAAAGAGGAGGAGAUAAUGUGGUUACAGAGAUCGAAA